CCUUUCUUUCCUCACAUUUUCUCAUCCAACUACACUACUUAAAUCCCUCAAAGCUCUUCCUACCCUUUCAUCUCAAACAAUAUCUUUCCUUCACGUAUAUACAAACACAAUUUUAUGCGCUUUGCUAUUGUCUACAAUUUAUAUAUCACGUAGUUGUGUGUAUAUCUACUUACAUACAACAAAAUUCAAAUAGAUAUGGAAGCAAAACAAAAGCCAUGCGCCUUAGAGAUCACGGUUAUAUCGGGAGAAAACAUAAGAAUGGAUCGAAGUCAAGUGGCGGAGAAGGUGUAUGUUGUUGUUCGUGCUGAGUCUCUCAAUUGUUGCACCACCAAAAUGGUGAAUGAAGAUGCAGGUUUGCUAGCAUGGAAUGAAAAAUUCUUGUUAGACAUUCCUUCACGUGCAAGGUCGAUCACGUUUGAGGUGCAAUGCAAAAAGUAUAAAGAUGUUCGCCUAUUGGAGUAGCAAGGAUAGCACUUUCGGAUUUUCUUGGUGCCAAUAAAAUUGUGUCGGAAAGUGUUCCCCAAAUGUUGUGUCACGGUUUGACGAAUUGGGAAGGUCGGCGAAAUGGGGUUAUUCAUUUCUCAGUGAGGAUGGUGAUUCCAGGGCAUAAUUUGUGUCCAGAAACAAAAGAAGCAAAAGACAUAACGACUACAAUGAGUUCUAAAGAAAUUCAUGAGCUUGAGGCAAUAGGAUUUCAAGUGGUCAACCCUAAGAAUUCAAACCAUAUUGUCAUCGGCAUUCCAGUUUAAAGGUUUUUUUUUUUCCUUCUAUCCAUUAUAUUACACGAACAACAUCAAAGUUUGAAUUUAAGAUCAUACCUAAUUCCAACCAAAGAUUUAUUUAAAGUUUUUUCUUCUUCUU